rnacentral:rRNA from 1 species
CCUACGGGGGGCACCAGUGGGGAAUAUUGCACAAUGGGCGCAAGCCUGAUGCAGCCAUGCCGCGUGUAUGAAGAAGGCCUUCGGGUUGUAAAGUACUUUCAGCGGGGAGGAAGGCGGUGAGGUUAAUAACCUAGCCGAUUGACGUUACCCGCAGAAGAAGCACCGGCUAACUCCGUGCCAGCAGCCGCGGUAAUACGGAGGGUGCAAGCGUUAAUCGGAAUUACUGGGCGUAAAGCGCACGCAGGCGGUCUGUUAAGUCAGAUGUGAAAUCCCCGGGCUUAACCUGGGAACUGCAUUUGAAACUGGCAGGCUUGAGUCUCGUAGAGGGGGGUAGAAUUCCAGGUGUAGCGGUGAAAUGCGUAGAGAUCUGGAGGAAUACCGGUGGCGAAGGCGGCCCCCUGGACGAAGACUGACGCUCAGGUGCGAAAGCGUGGGGAGCAAACAGGAUUAGAUACCCGAGUAGUC